GGAUAUAUUAAAUCUUAUCUUUAAAAUUAUAAAUAAUAAAAAUUUUAUUUUUAGUGAAAAUACUAAAAUAAUUAUUUUAGACAAAAAGACCCUAUGAAACUAAUAAUAAAAAUUUUAUUUUUAUAAAUUUUAAAUUAAUUUUUUGGGGUAAAAUUAAAUUUUUAUAUUUAAAAAAAAAAAUAAAAUUUUUUAUCCUUUAGGAAAAAAAAAGUUCCUCUAGGGAUAA
rnacentral:rRNA from 1 species